rnacentral:rRNA from 1 species
UCGAUUCCCUUAGUAGCGGCGAGCGAAACGGGAAGAGCCCAAACCAACAAGCUUGCUUGUUGGGGUUGUAGGACACUCUAUACGGAGUUACAAAGGACGACAUUAGACGAAUCAUCUGGAAAGAUGAAUCAAAGAAGGUAAUAAUCCUGUAGUCGAAAAUGUUGUCUCUCUUGAGUGGAUCCUGAGUACGACGGAGCACGUGAAAUUCCGUCGGAAUCUGGGAGGACCAUCUCCUAAGGCUAAAUACUCUCUAGUGACCGAUAGUGAACCAGUACCGUGAGGGAAAGGUGAAAAGCACCCCGGAAGGGGAGUGAAAUAGAACCUGAAACCGUGUGCUUACAAGUAGUCAGAGCCCGUUAAUGGGUGAUGGCGUGCCUUUUGUAGAAUGAACCGGCGAGUUACGAUUUGAUGCAAGGUUAAGCAGUAAAUGUGGAGCCGUAGCGAAAGCGAGUCUGAAUAGGGCGUUUAGUAUUUGGUCGUAGACCCGAAACCAGGUGAUCUACCCUUGGUCAGGUUGAAGUUCAGGUAACACUGAAUGGAGGACCGAACCGACUUACGUUGAAAAGUGAGCGGAUGAACUGAGGGUAGCGGAGAAAUUCCAAUCGAACCUGGAGAUAGCUGGUUCUCUCCGAAAUAGCUUUAGGGCUAGCCUCAAGUGAUGAUUAUUGGAGGUAGAGCACUGUUUGGACGAGGGGCCCCUCUCGGGUUACCGAAUUCAGACAAACUCCGAAUGCCAAUUAAUUUAACUUGGGAGUCAGAACAUGGGUGAUAAGGUCCGUGUUCGAAAGGGAAACAGCCCAGACCACCAGCUAAGGUCCCAAAAUAUAUGUUAAGUGGAAAAGGAUGUGGCGUUGCCCAGACAACUAGGAUGUUGGCUUAGAAGCAGCCAUCAUUUAAAGAGUGCGUAAUAGCU